GACGAACGCUGGCGGCGUGCCUAACACAUGCAAGUCAACUUGACUGAAGGAGCAAUCUGACAGUAGAGUGGCGCAAGGGUGCGUAACGCGUAAGUAACUUGCCCAAGGUAAGGAAUAACGUCGAGAAAUCGGCGCUAAUACCUCAUAAUGCAGCGGAUCCGCAUGGAUAUGUUGUUAAAGGUUUACCGCCUUGGGAUAGGCUUGCGUCUGAUUAGCUAGUUGGUGUGGUAACGGCACACCAAGGCUACGAUCAGUAACUGGUCUGAGAGGAUGAUCAGUCACACUGGAACUGAGACACGGUCCAGACUCCUACGGGAGGCAGCAGUGAGGAAUAUUGGGCAAUGCUCGAAAGAGUGACCCAGCAACGCCGCGUGGAGGAUGAAGGUAUUCUAUAUCGUGAACUCCUGUGAGAGCAGACGAAAGACAGAUUAUAAUCUGGAUGACUGUAUGCUCAGAGGAAGCCCCGGC
rnacentral:rRNA from 1 species